GGUUACGAGCCCCUAUCUUCGUGAUAUCUUUUUUUUCUUUGUUUCCGAGGCAUCUUUUGGAGAAUUAUGAGGUAACUGUUUGUCAUUUCAGCGAACUCCAAUUUAUGACUUUAUUUUUACUUGAAAGACAAUUUCAUUUUAGACUUGCGUGUUUUAUUUUAGUUUUAGUAUUUAAGUUAGAGGCUUGUGCACGUGACAACCUGAUUUUGGGGAUUGAAUUAAGUUGACUUGUUUUCGUAAUAGAAAUUGUUAUUGGACUUCAGUUUAUUUUUGCACUUUGUUAGAUGUUGAGUUUUAGACUGACUUGUCUUGGUGGGACCAUCACACUCAUUUUGGGGUUGUGACAAUGAAUGACCAAAAAAAUAAAUAAAUCAGGAAAACUAAAGUCGCAAUAAAUCGCAGAUAGCCAAUUUUUCUUCUAAUGUUUAUGCAGGAAAUUAAUAUAUUUCACAUAACGUUACAGCCUUUUGUCUUUAAUUUGCUAGUACAAUAUUUUUUUUCCAUUGCGCAUAGGUGAAUCUAUAAUUUGAAAUUUGUGGUAUUAGAAUGAGUUUGAUCUUAUUGAUUGGUUGAACUCACAUAAUGCUCGCCUCAGAAUUUACUUGUAUUAAUAUUUCAAAUACAUAUUUUCAACUCGAAUGUAAUGAAUUUGUUGAACACAUUGAAUUUUCCUAAAUCUGUCUCCUAGUCUAAUUGUAUUGAUGUUUCGAAGCUUUCCUUCAGAUCUUCUGAAAUCAUGCCCAUGACAUUGAUCCUUUGUUGGCAAAUGUAUGCAUGCAAGAUGAGCGUACAAAAUUACUAAUACUCCGAUUAUUAUGUUUGAGAUCUAUGAACAAUCGCUAUGAAUUUUUGGUUUAGUGGCCCUCCUGAUCAAAGAGCAGAUUCUGGAGAGAUUCUUCCUCGACCAUAUAUUAUUGUACAACUUAAAACUUGUAUGCAAAUAUGAGUUUUAUUAUAGGUGUGCCACUCAACAAAGCUAUUAGGUUUGAGAUUAAUAAGCAAGUGAUGAGAUUUUUGAAUUUAGUAGCACGUACCUAAUCAAAGAGCAGAUUUUGGAGUGUUUCUUCGUAUUACACCAACCUGAAUUUGUAAGCAAGAUGAGUUUAUACGAUGCCAAUCAACCGAGCAAUCAAGUUUGAGAUUAAUAAGCAACUCAUGUGAUUUAUGGAUUUAGUAGUCACCUGAUCACAUAGAAGAUUUUGGAGAGAUUCUUUAUCGACCAUAUAUUACACCAACUUGAAUUUGUAAUCAAGAUGAGUUUAUAGGAGUGUUAAUUAAUAGGCACUCGAUGAAAUUUCUUGAUUUAAUGUCCAUUUGAUCAUAGAGAAGACUUUGUAGAGAUUCUUCAUCGACCAUAUGUUACACUACAAUACUAGUUUAUAAGAGCGCCUAUAUAUCAACUGAGCUACCGGAUUUGAGAUUAAUAAGCAACCAAUGGGAUUUUUGGAUUUAGUGAUGUGUCCUGAUCAAAGAUUUUGGAGAGAUUCUUCAUCGAUCUAUAAUCUUGUGGCCGGUUAAUAACAAAAGGGUGAUGUGUUGUGGUAAAAUAUAUGUUUGUAGUUGUAAUAUAUGUUUUAUCUCCCUAUUUAUUCAUCUUUUUGUAUGUUGGUUGGAAUUAUCACAUUGGAAUGAAGAGGAGGAGAUGGUGGCAACCUAGAUAUAAAAUUCCUCUUAGGAAAAUCUUCAGUGUUAUCAAAAUUUGUUUCAUCAUUAUCUUCAAAAUUCUUGGCAUAACUUAUUUGAUCAUAGGUAAAAUCAGCAGAGGCAUGACGACGAUGUCUACCAAAUCGAUUCAUAAUGUUCUUACAUUUCUCUUUGAUCUCAGGAAAAUGAUUAUGAGACUUUUUACAUUUUGAAGUAUCGUUAGGAGAAGAAGACGAUGGAGAGUCGUUAGAGAUUUGAUCUGAAGUACUAGAAACAAAACAUGAAACACUUGAUGACCUUCUAUGUCUAGUAGUUCUUUUCAAUGAUGAU
rnacentral:lncRNA from 1 species